rnacentral:tRNA from 1 species
GCUGAUGUGGCGGAACUGGUAUACGCGCGCGCCUUAAGAGCGUGUUCUCAAAAGGAGUGUGGGUUCGACUCCCACCAUCAGCA